UGUGACAUGACACAUUAUCGUUCCAGAAUAUCAAACAUAGCGUAUUUUUUUUAGGAAAAUGCAUUCCUAAGGUCCAUUUACUACAGUAUACCAAUACUAAAGACCGCGUAUAUUAUAAAUAAUAAUGCAAUUUUACCUUUAAAUAAACAUCGUCAUCAACACAGCACUAUCGGAAAAAGUCUACCCCUGGCACAACAUCGCUCACCUGGCUGGAAAGAGUUACGUAGGACCUGUGGUUUCACAACCGCAAGCAUCCAAUUAAAAUGCGACGGACAAAAACGACGGGACACCAACUAACAAUUUUCCAGUAGAGAGGGCGCACCGGAUUGUAAGGCACACUGCCGAUGAGCGGGUGUAGCCCCAGAACGAGAAGAUAAGCUUCUUCUUUCAACAUCGACUACGGUGUUGGCACUGACUACAAAGGAGGAAGCGCGCACAUUUUCAGGAUUUAUGCAGAUCCCAAAUACAGAUCAGCAGGUACCAGAAGGACCCUGGUAUAGAUGGAACGAUAACCAUAGGACGCAAGGAAAGAGCAAGACUGAGGGCAGCGGCACAGUAGAGACUUAGGACUACAACGCUGCAGCUUCAAGGUGGGAAAAGGAAGACUGAGGGCAGCAGCAGAGUAGAGACUUAGGAGUACAACACUGCAGCUUCAAGGUGACUAAGGGAUGCAGCAAAGUAGCCAAGACUAAAAAUGCUCCAGUAUUGUAGUUGCCAACUCUUCUUUGGUUUUCUAUGACAAUAAACUGUGGAAAUGCAACAAACAGUAUUCAUUUCUACACAGUACGAGGACUAAUUGUAUCAACGGGAAGACUAAAGGCAGCAGCAAAGUGGAGAUUGUGGAGUACAACACCGCAGCUUUAAGUACUGGGACAAAUUGUAUCAACGGGAAGACUGAGGGCAGCAGCAAAGUGGAUAUUGUCGAGUACAACACCGCAGCUUUAAGGGGGCAGCAGAUUUCAGGCUUGGAUGAGCUCCUGACGGCAAAAGAUGUCUCCGUUAAGAGGAGAGCGAGGAACAUCCGCAGCUGCUAAAUUUAGACGGGGACAAUCUGCCCACCGGUGUCGCUGCCGUCGCUUGGCAGUGUCGUGCCACAGAUGUCCCCCACGACCCCCCGUCCGGUCCCUGAAUUUCCCGCCCAGAAACCACCUAUCAAACCUGGACACGUGUCCCCUCGGUCCCUGAAGGGGUGGCUGCGUGUGCACGAUCCUGUGUUUGCACCUCCGUCAUGUAAGUUAACAAAGAGCGUAAUGGGAAUAUGUGGAGGCGUGCGAUGAAUUGGAAUAGAAAUGGAUGGCACUCGUGUCAAGUGGGCCCCGUCUUGCCCAAACAGCCCGCAGCGGGCCAAUUUCAAGGCGAUAAGGGGAAACAAAUUGUGACACAGCAGUUUUUAUGAAUCACCUGUUACACCUCUGUUUGAAGGUUGCACUUCAAGGAACUUGCAUUUUUUUCUGCAAAUAGUGACCUAAAUUCCCCAAAUAUUCAUAAUGUGUGUCACCCAAAGGACAACAUGAAUUAAUUAACGUGGACCCUGACUUAAACAAGUUGAAAAACUUAUUCGGGUGUUACCAUUUAAAUGAUAAGUGGGUUGUACUUGUAUAGCGCUUUUCUACCUUCAAGGUACUCAAAGCGCUUUGACACUACUUCCACAUUUACCCAUUCACACACUGAUGGAAGGAGCUGCCAUGCAAGGCGCCAACCAGCAACCAUCAGGAGCAAGGGUGAAGUGUCUUGCUCAGGACACAACGGACGUGACGAGGUUGGUUCUAGGUGGGAUUUGAACCAGUGACCCUCGGGUUGCG